GCAACAGGGAAAGAAGAAAGAUGUGGAUUAGUUUUAGAGCAUUUUAAAAUGCUUUCAUAACAAGGAGACAGUUACAAAGGCUGAAAGGUAGAAAUGACCACAGUUGCAGCAUUUAUCCCUGAAAAAAAACAGAAGAGUUCUUCACAUGCUUCACGGUAGAAACAUUUGUCCCACAUUGCUCACCGUAAAACCAAAAAUCAAUACAGAUGUUGGUAAUCUUAUCUCUGGGAUGACAGGUGUGAAUCAAAAUGCGGCACCAUGACACAAAGUGGAACAUCGGGUCACCCAACCCAGGGCUGCAUUCUUUAUUAUAACAAAGUCGUUGUUUUCUGUAUGAAAAUAUACCAGCAAUACGUCUGCAUUUUAUAUCUGGAAGUUCAAGACAAACUGGUUCUACAAAGUACAUUUUAUUCUUCUCUAUUAUACAUAGUGAAACAUAACUUAAACCCGAUAUGAUUGGCUGCUAUGCAAAACAGAGAAGGUAUAAAUAAGCAGGAAAAGGCCUGAAAGAAACACCAACACUGUGGAGCUACCUCAAGCACUGGGAAACUACUGAUACAGCUAUUAGUCUGUUUUUCUUCACCACAAAUUACUUUGAAACAUAAACAGUAAAAGAUGGCCGAACAGAUGCCUAAAAAAUUCAAGGUUUUUGGAAAAUCAUCAUGGUCCAAAAAAAAGGAACGGAAAAACCAAAUGAAAAAGGACCCAGAGAUGCUGUUUGUCACUCUCAGGAAAGGAGAAGAAGACAAAUACAUGUUUUACACUGAGUCUGUAGACAAAUGGCGCAACACUAUACAAGAAGCCUUCUCCGAUCCAACUGUUGUUUGCUAUACAUGGGAAACAGAAGCAGGCACCAUUAUGUUAUGUCCUACAACUGGAGUAUGUGUGAUUCAAGGCAAAAAAA